GUGUGUGUGUGUGUGUGUGUGUGUGUGUGUGUGUGCCCCGCACUUACUGAGUAUAGUCCCACGCUCGAUCUUUGUGACAUAGAUGCACUUUCUACAGGCCGGAGUGCUCAGUGGGUUGGAGUGGCGGGCUGCCCUGAUUGGCUGCAGAGUGAGGUGUUUCGUAGGAGGAUAAGGACCGAAGUCGGUUUGGUCCAACCGUGGGCUCGUUCAGUGGGAAGCCGCUCCGCAGGUUGUUCAGAUAGUGUUAAAGUUGAUUUGAAUCAUGAUUUUGUGGUGAUAAUCUGAGGAGAGGUGACACACUGUACAGCUCUGUGUCUAUCUGCACUAGCCCCGUGAGGGUGAUUUCAAUGAGAUAAAUAAUAAGAUGGCUUUUUGAAGUUAUUUUCAUAGAGGUCAAUUUUUGUUUUGCUAUGUAUAUAUUUUAAAAUGUAUUUAUAAUCUGUAUGGACUUUGAUUAAGCAGUAUUUUUUAUUUUUUUUGCUUCCCCUAAAACAUGUCGUAUGUGGUAGCUUUUGGCCAGGCCCAAAUAUUGUUACUGUACUGUGUUGCCAUGGCGAUGAAUUUCAAAAUGGAGACAGUUUCAAGGUAUUUGCGUCACAUCGUCUGACUCAGUUGACCUUUGGCACUGUUGCACACGUAUGUAACUAUGAUAACAAAAUAAAUUGGCAGUGUCCAAUUCUGGCAUCACCAACAGACAACUCAAACCAUAACCUGAACCUUUGGCACUUUUGUACCUCCAACAUAAAGAGCAAUACUUGCUCUUUCAGUCAUUAUAGUUUCAUGCUCAUAGAGAACUACCAUUUAUUGAUUUGUAGAGGACUGUGAAAAAAACAAAAACUUUGGCAUGUGUUUUUGUCCCAGAAUCAGUACGUUUUUUUUAGUGUGUCACUAAUGUGAAAGACGUGUGAUUGAGAUGAGUGAGACGCAGCCAUGUCUAAAGGUAUUAUUUGUGUGUCCUUUAACUGACAUCUCUUUUUUUCGUUCUUUGGUUAUAUCCUUUUAUGAUGUAAAUAUUAAAGCAUUUUGUAAAGAAGA